CAGUGAAAGAAGACCCUUGCUACACGGAUCAUUUUCUUAGUGACAGCCCUGACAAGUGUGACAUUUGUUUCAUCAAGUGUUCUGAAGCAGCCAACAAGAAAAUGUACCCUUUGGGGCUGCUGGAAAGCAGACAGGUAACCGACUCCAAACAAAGAGCAAUUAUUUUAGCAGCUGGAAUUUCUACUGCUCAGAAUCUGCUAUUCACAGCAGAUAAAGACACAUGGUGGUACAAACAGUAAAAUAAAGUGAGAAG